rnacentral:rRNA from 1 species
UACGUAGGGUGCGAGCGUUUAAUCGGAAUUACUGGGCGUAAAGCGUGCGCAGGCGGUUUUGUAAGUCUGUCGUGAAAUCCCCGGGCUCAACCUGGGAAUUGCGAUGGAGACUGCAAGGCUAGAAUCUGGCAGAGGGGGGGUAGAAUUCCACGUGUAGCAGUGAAAUGCGUAGAGAUGUGGAGGAACACCGAUGGCGAAGGCAGCCCCCCUGGGGUCAAAGAUU